AAGAAGAAGAAGAAGAAGAAGAAGAAGAAGAAGAAGAAGAAGAAGAAGCAGCUACGUCUCAGAUAGCCCAGCCUGGCUCUGAACUCACUGUGUAGCCAGGCUGGCCAUGGAGCUCCUAGAUCCUUCUUUGUCUUGCCUCUGAAUUUUUUUCUUUUCCGCGAUUGCGGAUGGACCCCAAGACAUUUCCCAUGCUAGGCCGCUUGCUCCAACACUGAGCAGGACUCCAGAUCCUCACUGGGGGAUUCUAGGCAAGGACUGCUGAGCCAUACCUCAAACCUGUCACCGGGUGGUUCUGGGCAAGUUCAUUCCAGUUAUAGUCAAGUUGACAACUGAGAAUAGCCAAGACAAGAGGAGACCAUGUAUGACCCCAAUGUCUAAAUGAUGAAUAUCCAGAAGCUUGAAAAACGACUCUUCAGGAUCCCUUCUGAAAGCGUGCAGUUGGAUGAGGCCCACCAUCUGCUUUGGACAGCAUCUUCCCAUUUAUUUUCCUUUUGAAUUGUGUGCUUGUGUGUGCCUGUGUGGGUACGUGAGUACAGUGCCCAUGGAGGACAGAAGAGGGCAUUGGAGCCCCUGGAGCUGGAACUAGAGGUGUGUGUGUGAGCCACCUGAUGUGGCGCUGGGAAUGGAAUUGGGGUCCUCUGGGAGAGCAGUACGUUAACCACUGAGCCGUCUCUCCAGAGCCCACUCUUCCCAUUCUACAGACUGCCAACUGAGGCCCAAGCUUCCACGGGUAAUCAGGUUGAUGACACUGGGGUUUCUUUUUUUCUUUUUAGAUUUAUUUAUUUAUCAUGUAUACAGUAUUCUGCCUGCAUGUGUCCUUGCAGGCCAGAAGAGGGCACCAGAUCUCAUUACAGAUGGUUGUGAGCCACCAUGUGGUUGCUGGGAAUUGAACUCAGGACCUCUGGAAGAGCAGUCGGUGCUCUUAACCACUGAGCCAUCUCUCUAGCCCCCUGGGGUUUCUUGAGUCCCAGCCCAGGGUCAUCUUUUUGUUUCAUUUUUUUGUCUUUUGAGACAGAGUUUCUCUUGGCUGUCCUGGAACUCACUCUGUAGAACACCUGGGGAGUUCUGGGAAUACAGGUCUGCACCCCCAUGCAGAGAUACCUCCAUCUCCUGCCCAGACUGGGGCUUUCUGAGGCCCAUCACUCUCCACUCCUCCUCACUAAGUCCAUUUGUAUCCUCCUUUCCCUCUUCAAGCCUCCCCUUCUGUUCUCUGAAGGGCUCUAUGGGACUUCUGGGAUGAGGAUGUGCGCGCGCGUGUGUGCGUGUGUGCAUGUGCGUGUGUGUGUAUGUGUGUGUGCGUUGUGUGUGUGUGUGUGUGUGUGUGUGUGUGUGUGUGUGUGUGUGUGUGUGUGUGUCUGUGAUGUGUCUGUGUGUAUGAUCUUCCCAUCUCAGGGGCCUGUUUAUGCAUCAUGGGGAGAGACGUCUCCUGGGGGCGGGGCAUGCUGGUCAGAGCUGGGCACUUCCUCUCCCCCUCCUGAUUGGUGAAGGAACCGUCACAGCCAUCUGGAUGACCCAUUAAGCUACAAAGAGGAAGGAACACCAUAAGCUAAGUCAGACAGCCCUGGCCACCCUGGGGCGUGGGAAUAGACACAGAUAUGGGAGGAACAGGGAGCCCAGGGUGGCCCCAGCACUGACUCACCGUAAGACCUUCCACCCUUUGCCCUGCCUGCAGCCUCUUGAGUGACUGUCCCGGUCUGGUUCCCAGAGGCCCUUUCCGCCCAGGCCCUUUGGGCACCCUUUUCCCAGAAUGGGCCAGGGGCUCAAGUUACACAAUCCUUCAGGCCCUUGAGUUUCUUCCACAAAGUCCUCCUUCAAAAUAAAUCCUAAAAACUGGUCCGUCUCAGUGGCGUGGUGGUGCACACUUUUAAUCCCAGCACGAAGAAGAAGAGGGAUCUCUCUGAGUUCUAGGCCAAUCUGUUCUACAUAGCAAGUUCCAGGUCAGCCAGAGUUACACAGUGAGAUUUGUCUAAAAAAAAAAAAAAAAAACAACAACAAACAACAACAACAAUUGAAAAAACAACAAAAAACCCCAACCUGGUCCUGGUGGUGAAGACCCAUAAUCCCAGCUAUUCAAGAAACUGAGGCAGGAGGAUCACAUGUUCAAGGCCUGGAUGGACUACAGAGGGAGUUCAGAACUGGCCUGGGCUCAGCUAGAAAACACUUGAUGCGAGAGGACCUAGUCCCAAAAUAAAUAAAGGGGGCAGGGGGGAGGAGGGGCCGGCAAGAUGGCUGAGCAGGUAAAGGCUGUUAUCCAAGCAUGGCAACCUGAGUUUGUUUGCCUGGGUCCCACAUGGCGGAAGGAGAGAACCGACUCAUAAGUUGUCCACAAGAGUGAUGUGGCAGAACCCCCACUCCACAUAAGUAAAUAAAUGUAAUUAAAGUUGU